rnacentral:rRNA from 1 species
UACGUAGGGUGCAAGCGUUGUCCGGAAUUAUUGGGCGUAAAGAGCUCGUAGGCGGCUUGUCGCGUCUGCUGUGAAAACCCGAGGCUCAACCUCGGGCCGCAGUGGGUACGGGCAGACUAGAGUGCGGUAGGGGAGAUUGGAAUUCCUGGUGUAGCGGUGGAAUGCGCAGAUAUCAGGAGGAACACCGAUGGCGAAGGCAGAUCUCUGGGCCGUAACUGACGCUGAGGAGCGAAAGCAUGGGGAGCGAACAGG